rnacentral:rRNA from 1 species
AUUGAACGCUGGCGGCAUGCUUUACACAUGCCAGUCGAACGGUAACAGGCCGCAAGGUGCUGACGAGUGGCGAACGGGUGAGUAAUGCAUCGGAACGUGCCCAGUCGUGGGGGAUAACUACUCGAAAGAGUAGCUAAUACCGCAUACGAUCUAUGGAUGAAAGCGGGGGACCGUAAGGCCUCGCGCGAUUGGAGCGGCCGAUGUCAGAUUAGGUAGUUGGUGGGGUAAAGGCUCACCAAGCCAACGAUCUGUAGCUGGUCUGAGAGGACGACCAGCCACACUGGGACUGAGACACGGCCCAGACUCCUACGGGAGGCAGCAGUGGGGAAUUUUGGACAAUGGGCGCAAGCCUGAUCCAGCAAUGCCACGUGCAGGAAGAAGGCCUUCGGGUUGUAAACUGCUUUUGUACGGAACGAAACGGCUCUGGUUAAUACCCGGGGCUAAUGACGGUACCGUAAGAAUAAGCACCGGCUAACUACGUG